UACGUAGGGUGCGCGCGUUGUCCGGAAUUACUGGGCGUAAAGAGCUCGUAGGUGGUUUGUCGCGUUGUUCGUGAAAUCUCACGGCUUAACUGUGAGCGUGCGGGCGAUACGGGCAGACUAGAGUACUGCAGGGGAGACUGGAAUUCCUGGUGUAGCGGUGGAAUGCGCAGAUAUCAGGAGGAACACCGGUGGAGAAGGCGGGACUCGGGGCAGUAAUUGACGAUGUGGAGCGAAAGCGUGGGGAGCGAACAGG
rnacentral:rRNA from 1 species